UGGUUAACAACUCUAAAACCAAACAUAUGGAUGUACGUGGCCCCGACUUUAACUAAACUGAAUAUUUUACAUGGGCGAAAUUCGACAAUAGUUGAAAUAUUAGGAACGGGAAAAAUUCAUAUCGAACCAAACAUGAAAAUCUCAACUAAACACGUAACAAUUUACUACUUCAAUACAGAAGUCACAAAUAACGAUAUACUUGUAUAUCAGCCGGAACUUAAUUUAACCAGUUAUAAUAAAAAUCACCCGGAAUACGAUAAAAUUCCGAACUUAAACGAAACUAAUCAAGUGUAUUCUUUUAUGAAUAAAAAACGUUUAUUUGAUAUAGGCAUUGAUGUUAAGGAAUUGAAAGAUCAAAGAACAGUUCUACAAAAUAUGAUUUAUGCUCCUUUAGAAAACCCUUGGUUUACCACAACAACUAUAGCAAUUAUAGGAGGAAUAAUUGGAAUAUUUUUCUGCUGUUUUAGAGGAGAAAUUUCGUGCUGUGCGCGAAAACUUGAAUUCAGUCCUCAAAAACAAAUUAAAGUGGUAGAAAAACAGAAGAAAUGCGACAAACAAAAUAAAGAGAAUCGAAAACCCAAACAAAAGAAAACAAAAACAGAAAAAUUUCAUUCCAACAUAACGGAGCAGGAAUCAUUUUGCACAGACAGUCCCAAAACUGCAGAUAAAGAGGAAAAUAUAACAAAGGGAAUUAUUAAUAAGGAAAAAGAGAAUACUAACACAAAGAAAGGCAACGAACCUCAUACAGAAAUAACAAUUGAACAUGAAAAAAUCAAAGAAGAAAAGACUAAAACGAAAACUAAGCGACAGGGAGGUGCGUUUUACUGAAUCAAUUUACACGACCUUAGGCAUGACCAACGUACGAAGAAUUGACGUCGCAAUGCACAACAAUUUUGAAUGGACAUCCAUCAAAACCUUAGCAUAAGACGAAUAGGUAUCCUACGACGUUAAAGAAAAGGUAAAUGUGAAAAUUAAACGAAAGAAAAGGACUUGUGACAAAAACGCAAAUUAACAAAACGGCAAAUUAACAAAGAGAAACAAUAUGGAGUAUAAGGGAAAUAUUAUACAAACGAGACAGUUAAAAGAGUAAUGGCGAAAAGUGUAUGAAAAUGCUUGAAUUAAGGUACAAAUAUAAUACAAUCUUUUAAUAAUUAUAUAUUUUUUUCUUUUUAUAUCAUCUCGUUUUAGUUUUUUUUUAGAAUAACCAUAAUACAUAGUAUUUUAUUACAGAAGUAGAUCCCUCAUCAACCAACCGUAGCAAAGCCUUCAAAAGGGGGAAAGGAGGAGUGAUUUUGUAGCAAAAUCUCAACCGCAAGCCUUACCCACGGAACCGGAAGGUGCAGACAGGAGAUGCGUAAAGGAAAAGCAAUAAUGACACUUUUUAUUCCGCACAGGUAAACAACAGUAACAGAAAACAAUGAAUUUAUUCAAUUUAAGCCAGCCCCAACUUUUAUUCAAAAAUCUGAAGUUUGCAAUUGAAUUAUUCGGUAAUUGCAUCUCAGUAAAAUUCCAGAGGAUCUACCUCACAAUAUUAUAAAUGCAAUAAAAAAAUCUAUUACAAGAGUCAUCAUCAAAUGGGUUAAUUUUGUGGUCCUAUGAGAAAUUGAAAAAAAAUGUAAUUAAAUGAGUAUAUUGAGCAAGAAACAAAAGAAAACAACGAUGUUAUUAACGAUCUUUUUCGAUGGAAUUUAAUGUCAUGUUUGAAUAAAUUAUUUUGACAAAAUCUAAACAUAACUUCUUCGAGAGAUGACGCGGGAGGACAAGACGAGAAGGCAACAUCCGGCGAGAGCAACCAGAGGAGCAGUUCAACGGUACCUCUAUGAAAACGUACCACAGUCAAAUUGGUACGAAGACGAGAAAUAACAGAUCGGAUGGAAAGUUGAAGGUCAAAGGUGCUGGUAUGGCGGAGGAGAGGAUUCAGCGAACAUAAUUUUUCACCGGAGACGAUUCAAGGUCAACUCGGGUGGCACAUCGAGACAAAUAUUAUUGUACAUCUGCGAAUCUGCUAAUAUGAACCAACACAAUGCAGAGCAUCGGGAAAAACUACAACAACAAAACAACAACAACAAAAACAACAACAACAACAACAAUUCAUACAGACAUAUGAUGAGAGAAGGACGUCUUCAAAGUUUCCCAAAUUAACCGACAUAAUGUAAUGUUCACCAACCGCAUUACAUUCACCAUUGAGAAAGCACUUACUCCGUGCUUCUUACAACAACAAUUAACAGUAACCAUAACCCGAAUGUGCAACAGUUCCACAAUUUGCACCAGGUCAAAGACAACAAUAUUCGCAUCACUAUUGAGAUUGAUCCAAUACCAACAAAAUUCAGAAGGCGGGCGAUAAGUAAUCAACCAUAACACCGUAAAUGACAAUGAUAAACAAUCCAGUUCGGAAGGCAACUUAUGACACUAUUUCGAGAAACAACAGAAAGCAACAGUAAAACUAAUUCUUCUGUCUGCAAACGACAGCGCGGGAAUUCCAAGCAGGGAAAUACGAUUCAACCGAGGUAAUAUCCGGAUACCAAAGCUUCAUGGUCACGUUCCCACAGGAGACGACAUCAACUGAAUCAACUACAUCAUCUUCAAGACAAACCAGUACAACAGAGAAGCAACGAUACCAUUCAUCUGAGACCUGAAACUAACCAAUUGAUCUGGACAUUUAACAAGAAGAGGUAGAAAUCAAUGGUAGACGAACAACCCCUACGACGAAUCAAGAGGAGCAGCAGCAAGUACCAAUGAAGUCAAUCUCUUGAGGAAGAAUGUAAGAAGGUUAAUACAAAAUUUAAAGUUUCUUUGGGAUAUUCAGAUCAAUCAACUGUAGUGGAAAAUAUUGUAAGACACUUACUGGGAAGAUAAAGAUUAGUUUAGCAGUUUCAGUUUAGAAAAUUAACGAUCAUCGUUAACGUCAUCAUCUAAAUGAAGUUUUGGGGGAUACAUUUUACCCACAUCCUUACAUUUGAACGUGAUUUUAUACACGUUCAAACUCCGCUAAGUGGGAGGGCAUGCAACGCCUAAAUAUUCCCACGCCUUCCGAUAUUCUAAGUCAAUUCAACUGUGAAAGAAAAAGAUGCAUUUCCCCCCCCCCCCCCCCCCCCCCACACAAUCCCGUUAGAGUAGCUGCCUGGGUGUGUUUUUAUUUCAAUUUUUCACCAACAGCUACGCUCUAGGUAGGUUCUACCCACCUCACGCGCUGUAAAUUGGAAGCAACGGGAAACAUACCAUUCGUUACUGACUUUGUUUUUAUGACCCAUCAUCGCACCCGGUGAUGGCCGGGUGCGAUCGUGUUCAAACACGGGAGUCGAGCCGGUAAAUCCACAAUAUGCUUGGUGGGUCAAUGGUCGCUGGGUUUGAUUGUCGGCGACCGAUUCCAAGGCUCAAUUGUAAACCUGUAAAGGUUUUGUUUUUGAUCUAAAAUGUCGUACUGGACGUUGACUAAAACAACAUCCGUACGGUGUCCUGGUUUCGCGGGGCAGCGACCGCGCAGCGAUGCGUUUGUUUUGUUUUCCAUGAUCGUACAUGUUGGGUCCGGUUGGUUUGGUGCAGCUCUGAUUACGCUCGGUGGGCCGUCGAUAGGAAUGCCAUGGAA